GAUGAACGCUGGCGGCGUGCCUAAUACAUGCAAGUCGAGCGAACAGACGAGGAGCUUGCUUUUCUGAUGUUAGCGGCGGACGGGUGAGUAACACGUGGAUAACCUACCUAUAAGACUGGGAUAACUUCGGGAAACCGGAGCUAAUACCGGAUAAUAUUUUGAACCGCAUGGUUCAAUAGUGAAAGACGGUUUUGCUGUCACUUAUAGAUGGAUCCGCGCUGCAUUAGCUAGUUGGUAAGGUAACGGCUUACCAAGGCAACGAUGCGUAGCCGACCUGAGAGGGUGAUCGGCCACACUGGAACUGAGACACGGUCCAGACUCCUACGGGAGGCAGCAGUAGGGAAUCUUCCGCAAUGGGCGAAAGCCUGACGGAGCAACGCCGCGUGAGUGAUGAAGGUCUUCGGAUCGUAAAACUCUGUUAUUAGGGAAGAACAAAUGUGUAAGUAACUGUGCACGUCUUGACGGUACCUAAUCAGAAAGCCACGGCUAACUACGUG
rnacentral:rRNA from 1 species